rnacentral:rRNA from 1 species
GGUGAACGCUGGCGGCGUGCUUAGGACAUGCAAGUCGAACGGGCUCUUCGGAGCUAGUGGCGCACGGGUGAGUAACGCGUAACUGACCUACCCCAAAGUCGCGGAUAACGAUUCGAAAGAAUCGCUAAUACGUGAUGUGCUGUCAGAUCCUGUUCUGCCAGUAAAGAUUUAUUGCUUUGGGAUGGGGUUGCGUUCCAUCAGCUAGUUGGUGGGGUAAAGGCCCACCAAGGCGACGACGGAUAGCCGGCCUGAGAGGGUGGCCGGCCACAGGGGCACUGAGACACGGGUCCCACUCCUACGGGAGGCAGCAGUUAGGAAUCUUCCACAAUGGGCGAAAGCCUGAUGGAGCGACGCCGCGUGAGGGAUGAAGGUCUUCGGAUCGUAAACCUCUGAAUCAGGGACGAAAGACACUUUAUGUGGGAUGACGGUACCUGAGUAAUAGCACCGGCUAACACCGUGCCAGCAGCCGCCGUAAUAC